rnacentral:lncRNA from 1 species
GAACAUCAAUACUAAGAAAACGAUCAAUCACAAUAUCGAUAUUAGGAUUGCCAUAGCAGAAGGCCCUAUUUCCAGGGGAGAAAACAAUAAGGCCAACAUCUGGUCUACAAAGAGUGCAAAGUUCACUCGUCUUCUUAAAAAGGCUACUUCGAUGUUUUGAGAAGGUAACUUGGAGACUGGCUUCAUUCUCCAUCUUUUUUUACUCGAUCUUUUGACGACCUUUGCUUUUACUUGAUGUCCCCUCAUCUGCCAUUGUUAAAACUAAAAAUAACAAAAGAUAACCUCGACAAAUUGAGAAGAAGAUAAUGGAGAUUAUGAUGAGAGGAUGUAAGUAUACUAUUAUUGCAGUUGACGAUUGUAAACUACGCAAGGUAUUUAUAAGGUUUGGAGGUACCACUUGAGGCUAUCCAAGUUGAGUUAGGUGGAUUUACUUAACUUUUAUGCAUUUACAUUUCUGGCUACAAUCCUUAUUUCAUUGAAAUAUAAGGUAAGGAAUAUCUUGACAUAAUCCAAAACUUAAAUUUAUGAUACUAUCAAGAAUUCUUUACCUUUAUUACUAGUACAUAGUUAAACAUUCAUUUAUGAAUUUUGAUUUGCUUACAUCUCAAGGAAAAAACUUAUUCUUCGUCCGUCAAUGAUCAUAUGAGCGCGGCGAUCUUGGAAUAUAAAAAUAGAAAGUUUGCACAAGCAUGUUGAACCUAAAUUCCCUUUAAUGUAUUUUCCUUAUUCAUAGUUCGUUUAAUUAUUUUCUACUAAAUAAAAAAAUUUGUUCUUAUCACGGUCAUCAAGAUGAUCUUAUUCAACUAUUAGUAUGUCAUUCGUUAUAAUUCUUUUUGAAAAUAUAAUAUAUCCUGACGAAUUAAAUAGUUUAUAACCUCUUUCACAUUAUUUAUUAUUUUGAAUAUUAAAAUUUAAAAAUAAUAUAUUUAAGAGAAUGAUCGAUCUUUCAAUCUAUUGCAUUUUGGAUAGCUUAUAAUUUUUUUUUUAAAUAUAUACAUUACAAAUUAUAUCUAUCAUAUAAUUUAUUACAUUUAACUGUGAUGAGAAUACUAUAUUGUCCUUUUGAAUAUCUAUAUUGAAACUGAUAUAUAUGAGAAUGACAGAUAUAAUUUUUCAUAAUAAAUUAUUUACAUAUUUUUUAAUAAUAACAAAAGCAUUCUCAUUUUAACAUUCGGAUAUUGAGACUAAACGUCAAUUGAAUUAUUUUACAUUGUAUCAGUGAAUCCAGAAUUUUUAAUACAAUCACAAAAUCCAAACUCAUAUUAAAGGUUUUUAAAAACUAUAAUUUAAAUUUGAUUUAGAAUCAUAACUCUUUUCCAAUUCAGAUAUGUGGUAUUUGUAUUGUAAUUUAAAUUAAAUACAAGUUAAAAUUAUACAAACUCUUAAGCAUGCUACCAAAUUAAAUAUAUACCAACAGAUUUAUAUAUUUCUAUAUAAUGGAAUAGGGAAGCGAAAUGAGUAUGCGGAAUAAUCUUUUACCUUUUUUCUUCAAAGUCACAGAUAUACACGUACAUAUAUUUAUAUAUAAUGUAAUAAUUAACUUUCUAAAAAUAAUAAAUUUAUUACGUACUUAAAGAGCUUUAAUAUUUUCAUAUACUCAGUGUAUUGAUACCAAAUUCUAAACUCUUUUAAAUCUCUCGAGAUAUAGUUUAUAAUAAAUGCGAGAUAAGUGACUACUGUAUAUACAUAUAUAUACAUACACAUACAUACACACAUAUAUAUAAAGAGAUGGAACUAUCAUAUAAAUGUACUUUAUAGGGUGAUUAUAAAAGAUUAAAUAUUUUUAAAGAUUUGCGAAAUUGUAGUUAACAAGAAUGUAAAAUAAACAACACUCAUGAAACACACAUAUACUUAUUAACUCGAUCCAAGACUAACAACGACAACAUUUAUAAAGAAAAAAAAAACACACACGAACACACAAGAACACCACCUGAAAGUAAGCAAAUACAAAACUCAAGCCAAUUGAAAUCCCAAAUUCCCAAAUCAUUAUUUGAAAGACAAGACAAACAAAAACAAAAGACACGAUACUGAAACUCUUCAAACUAGCCCUUGAUUCAUUUCAAGAUAAUCAACAAACUUAGUCAUUAAAAUCCUUGGCCGCUUCCUAGAACAUUCCCUGCAAGAGGAGGCGGCAUUUUUUUUGGAUUAUCAUCGUUAGCUGCCUCAUUUGGAUUGUCCACAAUGAAGUUCUCAUCAUCCAAUGGAUCCGCAAACAGCAUCUCUAGAGUGAAGCCAUCAAAUACUGAGUCUAGAUUUGAAUCAUCUGGCACAAUACAUAUCAUAUUUAGAGCAUCGGAUGUUGUGCUAAUUGGAUCAUUUGGUGCAUGAGGCAUAGUAAUCGGAUUAAAAAACUCAUUAGGCCCGAUAUUUGGAUCAUUUGACAGAUUAAUAUCCAUUGUUGCAAUUUGGUUCCCGAAGGCAUCAGACAUUAUGUCUGGAUUAUCUCCUGCAUUAAGUGAUGCAAUUGGAUCAUCUGACUCAAUCAUGACUAAAUUAUUGAAGAGAUCCCUAGGCAUGGCCUUCAAGUCAUCAACAGGAUCUAACGCCAUGCUUGAAUCAUUCAACGGGUUAUCCAUCAUCAUUAUGUUGGGAUUGCCAGAGUCUAAGUUACAGAAGCUAUUCAGGGGAGGAGUUGAAUUAGUACUGCUGGGGGCAUAUUCAUGAGUUGGGUUGCUGGGCAUACUAGGCAUGGGGAGAGUAGUCAAGGCCUUCAUUGCUGGAUCUGAGUAAAACAUCCCGUCAUCCCUUGGAGAACCCUCAGCUGAACUCGAGUUACCUUGUUCCUUCUUUAGCUUCUUUGCAAGUUCGGCAACAUCAUUCCACAAGGCCUUCAUACCAGCAUCCAAAACUUCAAGCUCUUUCAUCUUGAAUUUGUCCAUUGAACGCGUAUACCAAAGCUCUUUCAUCAAGCCUUUUCUUCUUUGUUUGAGCUCUUUACCUCGCUUCCUUGUUGCCUCCUCCUUGUCUUAAGCCUGUUAUCAUAUACACAUAUUCAUGUAUUUGCAGUAUUAGAUAAAUAAUUAGGCUAAAGAUUUAAAAGUCCAACAAAAAAUUCAAAAUAUAUCACGUAACGUCAUAGAUUUAAGUAUUAGUGACUCAUGACAAUUUUUGGAUUAUCAUAAAUGGAUAUUAUAAAAAAAAGAUAACAAAUAAGUUGCUAACACCUCAGUGAUAUUACUGAUUGUUUCUUGAGUAUCAUUGUCGUUGUCAGGAUCUCGAGCUGGACGAACAUCAAUACUAAGAAAACGAUCAAUCACAAUAUCGAUAUUAGGAUAGCCAUAACAGAAGGCCCUAUUUCCAGGGGAGAAAACAAUAAGGCCAACAUCUGGUCUACAAAGAGUGCAAAGUUCACUCGCCUUCUUAAAAAGGCUACUUCAAUGUUUUGAGAAGGUAACUUGGAGACUGGCUUCAUUCUCCAUCUUUUUU